rnacentral:rRNA from 1 species
UACACUCCUACGGGAGGCAGCAGUGGGGAAUAUUGCACAAUGGGCGCAAGCCUGAUGCAGCCAUGCCGCGUGUAUGAAGAAGGCCUUCGGGUUGUAAAGUACUUUCAGCGGGGAGGAAGGCGAUAAGGUUAAUAACCUUGUCGAUUGACGUUACCCGCAGAAGAAGCACCGGCUAACUCCGUGCCAGCAGCCGCGGUAAUACGGAGGGUGCAAGCGUUAAUCGGAAUUACUGGGCGUAAAGCGCACGCAGGCGGUCUGUCAAGUCGGAUGUGAAAUCCCCGGGCUCAACCUGGGAACUGCAUUCGAAACUGGCAGGCUAGAGUCUUGUAGAGGGGGGUAGAAUUCCAGGUGUAGCGGUGAAAUGCGUAGAGAUCUGGAGGAAUACCGGUGGCGAAGGCGGCCCCCUGGACAAAGACUGACGCUCAGGUGCGAAAGCGUGGGGAGCAAACAGGAUUAGAAACCCGAGUAGUCCCA